AUUGAACGCUGGCGGCAGGCCUAACACAUGCAAGUCGAACGGUAACAGGAAGAAGCUUGCUUCUUUGCUGACGAGUGGCGGACGGGUGAGUAAUGUCUGGGAAACUGCCUGAUGGAGGGGGAUCACUACUGGAAACGGUAGCUAAUACCGCAUAACGUCGCAAGACCAAAAAGGGGGACCUUCGGGUCUCUUGUCAUCGGAUGUGUCCAGAUGGGAUUAGCUAGUAGGUGGGGUAACGGCUCACCUAGGCGACGAUCCCUAGCUGGUCUGAGAGGAUGACCAGUCACACUAGAACUGAGACACGGUCCACACUCCUACGGGAGGCAGCAGUGGGGAAUAUUGCACGAUGGGCGGAAGCCUGAUGCAGCCAUGCCGCGUGUAUGAAGAAGGCCUUCGGCUUGUAAAGUACUUUCAGCUGGGAGGAAGGGAGUAAAGUUAAUACCGUUGCUCGUUGACGUUACCCGCAGAAGAAGCACCGGCUAACUCCGUG
rnacentral:rRNA from 1 species